rnacentral:rRNA from 1 species
GACGAACGCUGGCGGCGUGCUUAACACAUGCAAGUCGAGCGGUAAGGCCCUUUCGGGGGUACACGAGCGGCGAACGGGUGAGUAACACGUGGGUGACCUGCCCUCAGCUCUGGGAUAAGCCUGGGAAACCGGGUCUAAUACUGGAUAUGACUCCAUGACGCAUGUUGUGGGGUGGAAAGCCUUGUGCGGCUGAGGAUGGGCCCGCGGCCUAUCAGCUUGUUGGUGGGGGAUGGCCUACCAAGGCGACGACGGGUAGCCGGCCUGAGAGGGCGGACCGGCCACACUGGGACUGAGACACGGCCCAGACUCCUACGGGAGGCAGCAGUGGGGAAUCUUGCGCAAUGGGCGAAAGCCUGACGCAGCGACGCCGCGUGAGGGAUGACGGCCUGGU